UUUUUUUUAAAUCAAGUAAGAUUUUAUUAUAGGAAAACUGUAAAAUUAAACAUCAGUCAACCCAUAAAACAAAUGCUCCAAAUUCCUACAUCCCAGUUUACUCUAGGUGAAUUAUACUUAGUUUACAGUAAAUUACUUUUAGAAAUCCAUAGGAACAUUACAACCUUUAAAGCUUGCCUACUACAAAGGAAACCAGAAAAAAGAACACAUUUUAGAUCUCCAUUUUAUAAUUCUUUAUUUUUGUUGUGCAUUGCAAGGUUUACAGAUGUACAUAGACAUUGAUCAUGAGAGAGCAUAACAUUAACAUAUGUCUGUUUCACUGCACAGUUUGGGUUUUAAUUAACAGGUUCAAUAGGUGUCACAGUGGAGAGAGCUCAUAAGUGUUGGCAAAGCAGGGUACGCACAGUGAUUACCUGGCUCGCUUUAAGAAUAGAUAUUAGUAUACUUGGGCUCUUUAAAUCAUGUUGCUAAUAUUUAAGUACAAUCAUCGCUCAUUCUAAGGGAUUACGCUAGGGGUCUGCUGGGGACCAGAGACUGAAUGCGCACUUAUUUAAGUGUAUAGAUUACUGAUGUGUAUACGGGCGCUUUUAUAGAAGAAUAGCUUAGUUAAGGUACUCGCUUAGGUAAUGUACCACCAGGCAGACUGUGGCUUACUGGGUUAUUGACAGCGAUAAGCAAGGUGUCGAAACCAACAUGUACUGUAACCUCAACUGUUGGCAGCAGAUAAGUCAGUUUAGUGGUUACUACAGCCAGGGUGUCUUCUGUUAAGGCUGUCGGUGAUGAGUCCUGUGGUGUGCGCCUUAGUCGCCUUCCGUCAUGCGGCAGCUGUCGGCUUCAGGAAUGGCUCCAGUAGGGAUCCCGCUUUCCGGCACAGGCACAGGCACCCCAGAGUCCUUUGAGUCCCGAGCACCCGCUGCAGGGCAAAGUGUCCAUGCAUCGCCGUGUUCCCACCACCCGGUCGGUAAGUGAGUACGGGUGUGGUGCUUUAUUGGCUACAGUGUCCAGGUGCGGGUAGCGGAGUGAUGGAGUUGUUGUGUGUGGAUGAUCUUUCCGGGUACUCACUCAGUGUUAGUCUGUGGUCUUAGUUAUAGGGAGCUCCGGUGGGGUGUGCACAGUUGGG